UUUUUUUUUUUUUUUUUUCCUGGACAUGCCCGGGGCAUCCAGAAGUUCCCAGGCCAGGGACUGAGCCCAAGACACAUCAGUGACAACACCACAUCCUUAACCAUUAGGCCACCAGGUAACUCCUCAUUACUUUUUUUAUAAUCAUGGCCCUUCAGUUCCAAGACUAACUUGAAAGCAGAGAGACACCUGUGUGGGGAUCAGUAUUUGGGGAGCUGGUUGCUCAUGUGGUGUCCACCACACCAUGAGAGACCAGCAGCUUUUCCAGUCGGCCCUGACCCAGAGGUGGGGAGACACUUCUCCUGUGGCCUUCUGGUUCUCUCUUUUUCCUCAUAUAACAUCGCUCACUGCGGGGAGGCCGGAGAGGGCUGCAAGAGGGCAUCCAGAAGUUCCCAGGCCAGGGACUGAGCCCCUUGUGCUGGGGAAGGCACAAGCUUCUAGCAGCCCUAUCACUAGGUGGUUUAGGGUGUGAGGGCUGGAACCACCCUCCCUGGUUCAGUUCCACUCUCUGCCACUUGUGUACUCUAUGACCUCCAGGGAGGUAUUUACCUUCUCUAAGCCAGGUUCCUCAUGUGUAACAUAAGAAGGAACACCAUUUCUCACUCUUAGGAUGGUUUUGAGAGUUAAAUCAGGUAAACUGUUAUGUUAGCACCAAGCCCGUCAAACAGGAAGUACUCAAGAGGUAAUCAAUGCUAUCUUGGGUUUAUCUUCUUUCACUAUCCCAAAGACCAGCAGUUCUCAAACUUUUUAGUCUUAUAACCCUUUAAAUUCUUAAAAUUUUUAAAUUCUUGAAAAGUAUAAGGGCCCUAAAGAGAUUAAAGCUUAUAUACAUUUUUUAUAUUUACUUUUUUAUAAGUCAAUUCAAAAAUAUUUGAAUUCUUUUUAAAACGACACCACUAAAUCCAUUAAGGUAAAUAACAUUUCACGAAAAAUAGCUUCAUUUUCCAAAACAAAAAUAUUUCAUAAGAGAAUGGCAUUGCUUUACACUUUGGCAAGUUCCUUUCAUGCCUGGUUAUUUAGAAGACAGCUGAUUUCUCAUAUCUCCUUCUGCGUGUAAUUUGUUCUAAUAUCACACAUCAUGUAGACUCUGAAACAUGCCUUGUCCACUCAUGAGAAAAUGAGCGUGAAAAAGACAAGUAACAACUUAGUGUUGUUAUAAACGUAGUUUUGACCUCAGGGACCCCAGAAAAGGACCUCAGGGUUCCCAGACCACACUUUGAGGUUUGCAGCUGUAACCCACAGCACCAGUCCAGAUAUUCUGCUGUCAAGAUCAGUACAGGAAAGUUACAGGUCGCAAGUCAGCUCAUUGUCAGAAUCUGGGAGGAUUUUUACACACUACGAGCCCGAGGGACCUAGACAUGAAAACCCAAUUGCUGCUGCAGCCAU
rnacentral:lncRNA from 1 species